rnacentral:rRNA from 1 species
GACGAACGCUGGCGGCGUGCUUAACACAUGCAAGUCGAACGGUGAAGCGCCUUCCUUUUUGGUGGUUGUGGAUGAGUGGCGAACUGGUGAGUAACACGUGAGUAACCUGCCCCCUUCUUCUGGAUAACCGCAUGAAAGUGUGGCUACUACGUGAUAUCCUUGGUCUGUCGCAUGAUGGGUCUGGGAUAGAUUUUGUUUCGGCGGGGGAUGGGCUCGGGUCCUAUCAGCUUGUUGGUGGGGUGAUGGCCUACCAAGGCGGUGAUGGGUAGCCGGCCGGGGAGAGUGGACGGUCAGAGUGGGACAGAGACACCACACAGACUCGUGCGGGAGGCAGAGGGGGGGUAUAUUGCACAAUGGGAGCAAGACUGAGGCAGCGACGGCGCGUGAGGGAGGGAGGCGGUCCGGUUGUGACCGUCUUUAGCGAGUGAAGCAGGCCUGCCUCGUUUGUGGAUGGAUUGACGGUAGCUGGAUAAGAAGCGCCGGCUAACUACGUG